UGUACCUCUGUGUUACGGGAUGAAUUGAGCGUUGCUGAUAACGCAGCGUUUUUGACGUUACCGUAGUAGAAAGCCCCAGCUAACUACGUGCCAGCAGCUGCGGUAAUACGUAGGGGGCAAGCGUUGUCCGGAAUCACUGGGCGUAAAGCGCGCGCAGGCGGUGGAAUAAGUCAGACGUGAAAGGGUUCGGCUCAACCGAGCCAUUGCGUUUGAUACUGUUUCACUUGAGUCUAGAAGAGGAAAGUGGAAUGUAUGGUGUAGCGGUGGAAUGCUUAGAUAUCAUAUAGAACACCCGUGGCGAAGGCGGCUUUCUGGUCUAAGACUGACGCUCAUGCGCGAAAGUUUGGGGAGCAACCGGGAUUAGAUACCCCGCUAGUCCUUACUGUAAACGAUGGGUACUAAGUGUAGGGGGUGUUGAUUCCCUCUGUGCUGUAGCUAACGCAUUAAGUACCCCGCCUGGGGAGUACGGCCGCAAGGUUAAAACUCAAGGUAAUUGACGGGGGGCCGCACAAGCGGUGGAGCAUGUCGCUUAAUUCGACGCAACGCGAAGAACCUUAUCCAGGGCUUGACAUCGCAGUGACCGCUAUAGAAAUAUAGUUUUCCUUCGGGGACACU
rnacentral:rRNA from 1 species